rnacentral:rRNA from 1 species
GACGAACCGUGCGAACGUUAUUCGGAAUCACUGGGCUUAAAGCGCGUGUAGGCGGGCCAGCACGUCGGUCGCUGAAAGCCCCCCGGCUCAACCGGGGAAGGGGCGCCGAUACGACUGGCCUGGAGGCAGGUAGGGGGGAGCCGGAACUGCCGGUGGAGCGGUGAAAUGCGUUGAGAUCGGCAGGAACGCCCGUGGCGAAAGCGGGCUCCUGGACCUCGCCUGACGCUGAGACGCGAAGCCAGGGGAGCGAAGCGGG